rnacentral:tRNA from 1 species
AUUCAAAUAGCUUAUAAUAGAGUAUAACACUGAAGAUGUUAGGGAAAUCUUAUGAUUUUUGGAUA